AUCUGACAAUUAACGUCGCGCCGGUCCAACGAAAUAGACAACAUUUUCUUCUGUAAUUCUUCUAUUUUUCUACCCGUCGGCGAUCAGAUCGUCUGGCACGAGAUGAAGUCAUCGUUAUUGUUAUCAACGCGCGUGUUUAUCGGUUGCCAUAAACGAAAGGGAACGGAAAGAUCGGCGAAGGAAAAGGACAAUCAAGAUGCAAUAACGUCGCAAUAAGGAGUCGCGAGUGCGCAAUGGUUUCCGGAAGCCUCGCGACGAAGGGAAUCCUGCACGGACCGGAAACGAUCGUUAAUCGACGAUCACCGCGGCGCAAAAACGUGCGAAAGACUCGCGCGGCUCGUCCGUGACUCACCUCCGCUCCAGGAACGGACUUAAAAGGAUGUUCCCUGCCAUGACCAUUAGCACCGCUAUCGAUCACGUCGGCCGAGAUCCUCGCUGAUAUCGAGCGUAACAUGCGAAACGUACAAAAUCUUCACUCGAUACGUCGUGAAUUUUCUCCUACGCGGCGUCGUCGCGUGAAGACGUACCCGGCCAGUGAAGAAUUGAAAUUGUCGAGAGCUCCACGGCUGUUUCACAAUUCGGAUCGUGUGAAUGCGCCCCUGAAAGUAAUCGCGAACGAGCAUCACGCACGAGAACGAAAACAGGCUCGUAGCUGAUUGCUCGGAUGUGGGUUACAGACACGCGGUACGAUUACGACGGGCAUUGAGUAAUCAAUACUCGAGCGUCUCGAAUCGAGAAAAGGUUCCUCGAGGCCUCGUUAACGUCUUUCUAAUUCAUCGUUGAUCGGCGACGACCCCGAGGAAAACGAUUACGAUAAUCGAUUUCCUCGAGGCGUCGCCCUUGAUGUUUUUCCACGGUGAACGCGUUCCCAUAAAGAGUCGUUCCGCUUUAACGAGCGCCGAUGCAAAUUGAUUCCGUCGUCGGGGCGAUCGUACCGGAGGCCCAUCUGGCGGUGUUGGGUGUCCGCGAUCGCGGAAUUCGCGCCGAGGGUUGCCAAAAAUGCGGCGCAUCAAUUCAUGAACUCGUGCGUGCAACGCCCGUUUCGAAACCGACACUUAUUCACUGCUAGAAAUACCUGGCCCGUAGCUGCGGAUAACAAGUUGCAGACGUUUCGUCGAUUCAAUGUCGCAGAUUUCGUUUCAUCUACCACGAGACGUCGAAUUAUUUAGCAACAAACGUCCGUCUCGUCCCGCGCAUCGUCGACAUUUGGGACACGUUGUAUUAUUUCGGCUUUAGUUAAUCAAGAAUUGGCUCCGCGAACGGAUUUUGACGGUUCUGGACGAAACAAGCUGAACGCGAAAAAGAUUUGGUAACGAGCUGCCAAAAGUCGUCUAGAUCGGUUGACUGACUCAUCGCGUUUAUACACGGGAGUCUUCAUCCCGCUCAGUCAUCCCGGGUAUUCGGGGAUGCUGGGUGGCUCAGGUGGUUGCGUGGCGGCCCGAAAUAGAGCCGGUCGCCCGCGCAAAAUCGCGUCGAGUCGCGACGCGAAUAGUCCGCGCCCACCACCUUACCGAGUGUCGGCGGUAAUUUUAGAAUCGUUUUGUUUUCGUGCCAGAAUGCUGCGCCGCUGCCGGCACACGCGACUGCGUGCCGAUUAUUAUUCACGUUUCGCUUUUGGGGAUUGAUGCACGUACUCGUCCACCCACAAUUUUCGCAAUUCGUUAUUAGAAUUUUACACGUGAAAUUAGGAGAUCUCUCAAAUCUUUAUCGUUUCUUGGCAAGUUUACCAUAGUUUAAUAGUUUGUAAAAUUGUUUUGAAAUUUAUUUACUGAGAAACACAAUUGACACGAUAUUUAACUACCCGAGACGGUUUUCUCGGACGUAGAUGAACGGUGUUUGGACUUUAAUAAGAGAUAUGUUUGCUAGACGUGAAACGAGAUCGUGGCUCUUCACGUUUUAACCGGACAGAUCGAAAAUUUAGAUAGAAGGAUUGGCAAUUGCAAAUGCGAGACUGUCCACAGGUGUCUAUUCAACCGAUUAAUUUGGAACGCGGAAUUUUCAAGAAAUCCGUACACGGAUAAUGUCACCGAACGCGUUCAACGUGGGUAAAGCGGGUUGACAAAUUGGAGAAUUCCAAUGAACAACCCCUCUCGAAUCUCUUCAUCUCGUGUAAAUCAGCGGACUGGCUACUUGCCGCGUGUACCAGCAUUGCCAGUCGCGUAUUUAUAAAAAGCAGAAAAGACGAACCGUGUACCGCGUGGAGAAAGAAAAGAAAUUCGAUGAGAGAAGAUCGAAAAAUAAGAGAGGACGAAGUUGGAACACCGGAGUGAUAGCCAAAUCGAGGAACAAGCUCGUUUUACACCGAUCUCUCGCCUCCUACGGCGUGGUAUGUGUCUUUUAGUACCUCGCAAUUGACAGUGCUUAAAUUCAACAGCCUUUUUUAGUCACGCGGACCGGCAGGAAUCCAAUCCCUUUUCUCGCGGAAGUACUUAUCCUGUUUGCGACGUUACCCUCUCCCGAUCGUCAAUUGUUUUCGUUCAAGGAGGAAAGCCUCUCUGCUGUCUCGUGUCAUUGGAGUUUGGCUUUAGAAAAGGGGGGAAAUCGCAAUGGAAACGAACCGGGGAACGGAGGGAGACAGGAACAAACGGAGGCGGGCAAGUGUGAAGGGAAAAGAGACGGAGAACGGUCGCGUGGCUGUGCGUGGCCCCAAAUAGGGCAUCAGGUGGUUGCUCGACGCCCGCGAGGAAAUGAUCGUUUGCGCGUGCGCAGACGCGCGUGUGCCUCGCGCACGCAUAUACACGCGCGCGCGUACAGUCGAACACGGCACGCGCGCUCUUCCACAGGUGGUGCCGUGGCGCGCACAGGAAAUCGCUCCUUCGCGGUGGUAAACUCCGCCGCCAUGAAACUUCGCUGCCUCGCCCGGUCCGUUCACCUGUAUUAUAUUUCCUUUCGAACAGAUUCGACAUGUGCGCGCGACCAUCCAAGAAAUGAUCUCCCCUCUCACCUGUUGCGUUUCCCUUCACGCUCCGGUUCUAAUCGUUAAACGCCCUCCCGAGGAGAUAUCGUGGGAGGAUAGUAAAUAAGUCCACUUUGUUUCACGAGCUUUCGUUUAUUAGGUUCUCGAAGCUGUUACAAAGACAAGAAUUUAGACACUGGCUGUUUAAACUCGUCCCAUGCGUAUAAAUAAAUAUAUGUAAUACUGUAAAUGUGUUAACAUGCUAAGACUAUGUAUUGACUUUGCCAUUAUAAAUGUCAUAAGAAGUACAUAAAAACAUACAUGAAAACGUGCAUUCAACUUAUUUCAAAUACCAGAGAACAUUUAUUGCAAUUAACUAAAGUGAAGACCCAGUAGUUUUACUCAGCCAUACAUCAGACGUCGGUCAAAUAUAAAAAUUCAGUAGUAUAAUCAGUCAUGUGUCAGCCCGUCGUAUUUAUCGUUAAUUGUACAUAAAAAUGUAACAAAUUCUAAUAUGCCGGGUCUUUAUAACGCUACGUCGGUUUUAAGAAUAAUCUCGGGGGGUGGAAGGAGCACGUAGCUUUUGCGAGACGGACGCUCGGAUCGAUAAACGUUUCGCGGCACGGUGGUAUAAGCUCUCGAAUGUUACAACGGCGACGGUCUGUCAGUAAGAGAGGCGACGGUACGCCGGCGCCAAGUUCGCGUCAGCAGCUUACGUAGAACGAGAGUGAACGAGGGGUGGCGGACGCGGCGUGAUACCCUCCCCGUGCACGCUAGAUUAUCCACUAGAGAUCAGAAUACUUGAUGACAAACAACGACGCAACAAACUUUACCUCCCUCUCCGCAUGCACGUCGCAAUCUUCCCGGUCUUAUCAAAAAUAUUAAACGCGCCCUUUAUAAAUAACUAACUGUUCGUAGUUGGACAGUUAGGGAUGUUCUGUCCUCUGCAUCAAUUUCAGUCCUUCUGGAUCAUCAUGGUUCCACGACGAAGAAAGAAAUUGAUUAAAAUCUUUUCAUUGUCCGCUCGUGUUGCAUCAACGAUCCGCGUCGUCAUUCUCGUCGUACGUCGUUACGUUCGUUCCGAGUGAAAUAAAAAGAAUCGUAGAACUUCGUCCGCGGUGACGCCAGAAGUUGAAGACCGAUCGAAGACCGGAGUGGAAAUAUUCUUCUGAAACAGCAGUCCCCCUUUUCUCUGAUUUCCGCGAUUCGUUCGAAACCCUCGAGCGGGAGAUCGCGCGCUCGCGGCGCGUACGUCACGCGGACGUGUCUACGUCACUGGAGAACCGAGUUAUGCGGUGGUGGGAGAUCGCAGCGAGUGGUUCUGGGUGGGGGCUCGAGGGGAAGGUAGGAGCGCGACAAGGGUAGGGGAGAUGCCUGUUCGCGGUUGCUCGCAGUGACGACGUGUUGGCUCGCUGACGGUGGGGGAUCUGGUCGCGUGUGUGCGCGUACACGUACGCCGGCGGCCGCGUCCGCGUCACUCAGACAGCCGCGCGUUGAUAGGGGACCUUAGAGCGGGGAUUGGCUGGCGGUCGACUCGCCGCUUCCAAAUAUGGGACAGUCUCCGCGGUCCAUUCAUAAAACUACGGGGCGCGCCGCCGCUCGGCUCAGUUCGUGCGCGACCCCCACGCAUCGCGCGUCCUCCGACGAUCCCGCUUUGCUCGCUCCGACACACGCACGCACGCAUACCUCGACUCGCCGGAGAGGUGCAUACCUUGACCGAAGCGCGCGAUAAACCCGUCGGAGCAGAUACAGAGAAGGAAAGAGAGAGAGAGAGGAACGGGAUACAGAAGAAGAAAGAGAAGAGAGAACCGAAGGAGAAGGAAAGGGACGGAGGAACGACAAAUAGGCGCGCGGUCGCGCGCGUCCGCACCUACGCGACGACACUCGCGCGGGAGUGAAGGAAUCGGGAUCUCGAUAUCUCGCGGACAGACGGCUGCCUCCGUUUUGAGCGUCGGAAGAACCGGGUGGCCACCACCGCGUUCUGGUAGAGAGACAGACAGAGAGUGAGAGAGAGAGAGAGAAAGA